CCAAGAAAAACUCAUUCCAGUUCUUUUGCAUUAAAUUCUCUUAUACCAAAAAAAUUGUUUCAAAAGUUGCUUAGUUGUUAUAGAAGAUGAUUGCUUAUAUGAUAAAGAAAUGUUAAGGCCUUGAUAAUAUUCAAAAGCUUCUGUAUAAAAACAAUACCAUGGAAAUUAAUGACAGAGUAAACUUUCUGAAUUAAAGUUCUCUUUCAAACUAUGAGUAAGAGGAGAAUUAGCUGGCUUCUUUUUUCUUUUUUUUGAGGCAGGGUCUUGCUCUGUCACCCAGGCUCAAUCACAGCUCACUGCAGCCUUGACCUCCUGGGCUCAGGUGAUUUUCCCACCUUAGCCUCCUGAGUAGCUGGGACCACAGGCAUGAGCCACCACACCUGGCUAAUUUUUGUAUUAUUUUGGUAGAGAUGGGAUUUCGCCAUGUUGCCCAAGCUGGUCACAAACUUCCUGCCUUGGCCUCCCAAAGUGCUGGGAUUACAGGCAUGAGCCACUAUGCCCAACCUCAGUUGGAUGGGUUUGUGUGUAUGUGUGUGUGUGUUUUGUUUGUUUUUUAGUUUUUGAGACAGAGUCUCACUCUGUCACCCAGGCUGGAGUGCAGUGGCACAAUCACGGCUCACUGCAGCCAUGACCUCUUGUGCUCAGGCAGUUCUCCUGCCUCAGCCUCCUUAGUAGCUGGAACCACAGGUAUGUGCCACCACACCCGGCUAAUUUUUGUAUUUUUUUGUAGAGAUGGGUUUUCGCUAUGUUGCCCAGGCUGGUCUCAAAUUCCUGGGCUCAAACAAUCCACCCACCUCUGCCUCCCAAAGUGCUGGGAUUACAGGUGUGAGCCACCAAGCCCAGCCUAGCUCCUCUACCUGAACUUAUUUUUCAUUAUCCUAAAGUGAUAAAAUAGAUCAAGAAGAUCAGAACAGGCUUAAAUUGAUGCUAUAAAACCAAUUACUCUGUAUUAUCUUUGCAACUCUUUUGUAAGUCUAAAAUUGUUUGAAAAUAAAAGUUUAUUUUAAAAAUUACUAUUCUCUUUCCUAUUCAACACAAAACUUAUUUCAUAAAGAUGCUUACAUUUUGUUUAUUUCCCUGGAAUUUUAGAUAUUUCUUCUGUUAGAGUGCCUAUCCUGCUAUAAAAUCACAUUUUACCUAAUUCCAUUGUUUAAACUCCAUGUAUUUAUGGUUUAGAAAAAUAAGGGAUCUGGCCCAGCACGGUGGCUAACACCCGUAAUCCCAGCACUUUGGGAGGCUGAUGUGGGUGGAUCACUUGAGGCCAGGAGUUUGAAACCAGCCUGGGCAACAAAGUGAGACCCCUUCUCUGCAAAAAAUAAAAAAAUUAGCUGGGUGUGGUAGCGGGCGUCUGUAGUUCCAGCUACUCUUGGGAGGCUGAGGUUGGAAGAUGGCUUGAGUGCAGGAGGCGAAGGUUUCAGUGAGUCGAGAUCUCGCCACUGCACUCCACCCUAAGUGACAGAGUCAGAUCCUGUCCCAAAAGAAAGAGAGAAAAAAAGAGAUCUGUCUUGAAAGAAAAUAUGAGGGUUUGUGGGCUUCUGAGCAAAAGAGAAAGCAGGCAUGUGCCUCUUCACCAUUGUUAAUAAAGUGGGCUUUUUUUCUUUCCAUGAAAUGUUCAAACUAAUUACCGCUUUCUGUAUUUCUGAAAAAUCCACUCUAAUAGGAACUUCAUAUUUUACUCUAUGCUGUAAAAACAGAAUCUAGUUUUACAGUGGUAUAUAAAAGUUGCUUUUGAGCAAAAGUAAACAUUUAAUCUACUUUCUUCCAAAUAUUGUCAUAAAUGAGGAAGCUCCAUUUACAUGAGUUUUACCUAUAUAUUUUAGAUCCAUAAAUUAAGAGAAAAGGAAAGUCCAAAGAGAAUAAGGGAAAAAAAAUGAUUAAAGAGGCAGGGCACAGUGGCUCAUGCCUGCAAUCCCAGCACUUUGGGAGGCCGAGGCGGGCAGAUCACAAGCCCAGGAGUUCAAGACCAGCUGGGCAACAUAGGGAGAUCCCUUCACUACAAAAUAUACAAAAGUUAGCUGGGCAUGGUGGCGCAUGCUUCUAGUCCCAGCUACUUAGGAGGCUGAGGUGGGAGGAUCGCUUGAACCUGUAAGGUAGAGGUUGCAGUGAGUCAAGUUUGCACCACUGCACUCCAGCCUGGGUGACAGAGCAAAACCCUGUCUCAAAAAAAGAAAAGAACAGGUAAUUUUAAAUUUUGAUGGAAAAUUAAUUGAAUUUAACAUUUUAAAGUAAGAAAUAGGCUUAAACAGGAACAGACACUAGACAUAUAAAGAGUUGGCUAACAGUGGAAGUCAGUCGUAGUAAAAUCAAAAAUCUAUUUUGUGGACUAAAAAUUCAGAUGAUCUGAAAAUAAAAGAAAGGGGUGUGACUUGGAGAACAUCUGAAGAGCCUUUCCUUCAAGAGAAUUUCGACUAGUCACUAGUGGCUUUCUAUGUCUGAUAAAGAGAUCCUUGUCAACCAGCUUCCGUUUCCUCCUGACCUGAAAAGUCUAUAUUGGGCAUUCCACUAUGUGACUUGCUCACUAACGUGGGUUAGCAAACCUAUAGAGAAUUCUGUUACAUCUUCAUUGCAUUGGCAUAAUUCCUUUCCAUGUUAAAAAUGCCUGAAGGUUGGGCCUGUCAUACUUACUGGUGCCUUGGAAGCCCCGGAAAGGAGCAGUCUCUCUGUGCGGGCCUCUCUUCGUGGUCCCAGGGGCUGGGAUAAUUCAGGAUAACCUUCUGCACAGGGUGCAGGCCUCUCACACUGGCUCCAGGCAGGGGCUGCCCAGGCAGAGCCGGCUGGAUCACUUGCUGGUAGGCUGCUCGAGGGUAGUCAUGGCCAUCUGUAGGUGAAGACAACAAAGACAACAGGGAACAUCAACUCUAGCUCCUUCGUGUGAAAGGAGUCAUAAGCUCCAUGCUCAUUUGUGUCUUGAUCCCAGCUGAGGGGUCCAGAUAUCUGUUACCACCUCUGUGAUGUUUGCCGUAUUUCUCUACUGUUAAUUACUUGAGUGUUUUCACGAAAUUCACUUUUUUUUGUCCUAAAUAAAAACAUCUGCGAAAUCACCAGUUUGGUAUUCCAGCUGGAGAGCUCAAAAAACUUUUCAAAAAACUCUACACAGGCUCCUCUUUUCGUAAGAUACUUAGGAAAAUCCAACCAUGAAGAACCUCUUUCACACCACCAUUCCUACCACAAUUUCCUUCAUGUCCCGAACCCAAGGCUAGGAAAAAUUAUCUGUAUGAUAGAUAUAGAAUCACUGCUCUGUAUUUUCCUCCCCCAAGUGGACAUACACGUGCAUGUGCACACACACGUGCGCGCACACACACACCCCACUCUCCUCUUAAGAAGAGGUAAAUGAAUGAAAACUUGGCUCAUCCUCCUGGGAACUAGCCAACCAACUGGCAAUACCCUCCAACUCCCUUGGUCCUCUCCUGCUACAGCCUACGUGCACUUGGAGCCAGGGCUGCUUGAAGAGGGCUGGGCUCAGAGCAAAGCCAGAGCUGGCAGUGACUUAUGUGAAUGUGCAACCUGGGAGAAAGUGGGUCCCAGCCAGGACCAGGAGCAGGAGGGUCCCCAGGGAAGGGCAGCCUGCUGCUGCCAGAGUUAAGCAUAGGAGAGACCUAAUGCUUAAUCACGCAAAAGAAUAGAACUAAAAGCCCAGAGGAGAGAUGCAGGGAACCAAGUAAGGGUGAGAGGGAAGGGCUCUGAGGGAAUGGCCCAGGCCCAAAGGGGGUAAGGUGUUGGGAAAUACGAGAGAUGCAAGAGGACUGAAGUGAGCCACAUGGUAGCCCUGCAAGAUGAGCAAUGAGCACCUCCUAGUGAUCCAAGCACUGCCCCUCCUACCCACAUAAGCAGUAAGACGAUCCAGGAGGAGGCGUAACUAGUUAGGACAAGAAGGAAGGUGUUUUGUUUUGUUUUUUAAAAAUCCUCAUUGAUCUUAAAAUUAUUUUGAUUCUUUUAAGAUCAACCCUCAUUGAUCUUAAAAUUAUUUUGCUGAUUAUAAAUGUAAUAAUCAAGUUUGCCUGCCAUGUAGAUAGGAUACAUAUAUGGAUGUACAGCAAAAUAAAACUGGCAAGUAAACAAAAAAGUGACUGAUAGGUUGAAACCAAAAUGAGAAGCUGAGAAUGUGGAUAAAAAUUGAUUCUUAAGGCCAGGCGUGGUGGCUCACACCUGUAAUCCCAGCACUUUGGGUGGCCGAGGCAGACAGAUCACCUGAGUUCAGGAGUUCGAGACCAGCCUGGCCAACAUGGUAAAACCCCAUCUCUACUACAAAUACAAAAAUUAGCUGGGUGUGAUGGCGCGCACCUGUAACCCCAGCUACUCAGGAAGCUGAGGCAGGAGAAACCCUUGAACUUGGGAGGCAGAGGCUGCAGUGAGCUGAGAUUGUGCCAUUGAACUCCAGCCUGGGCAACAGGGCAAGACUCCGUCUCAAAAACAAAAAAAAGAACUGUAUUCUUAGCUUGGCAAAGCAGUCAGGAGCCAUCUACGUUUUCAAAGGAACAUUCAGGGGAAUGAUGGCCUCAAGUACAGAACAAGAGAUAAAUAAUGUGCACGUUCACUAGUGUGGCCUCCUCCAGGUUCCCAGUGCCUAGACUCAGGAAACUGUUUGGGUGACCUGGCGAUGUGCCCAAGCUAGUCUCUCAAGUGUGGUCAGAUUCCCUGGACUCAAUCUAUUAUUGUCUCCUUUGACCCAUGUCACCACCUGGGUCCUUCCAGUCAUGCUUCUUCUGGCAAAAGUGACCAUGCCCCUCCAUCCCAGACUGUCUCCUGGCAGGACCCCAUGACCCUUGCCCUGAUAUUGCUUAGGCCUGGUCAUGACAAGUAGUAGGGGUUUAAAGAGGGGGAGGAGGAGAAACAGAUCUGCCUAGAUCUAUCCCUGCACCUGGAUGACAAAGGAGACUGGGACUUGAAGGGACUGUUCUCAGAAUGGAAGACAGGCCCACAGAGACUCCUAUGGUCUAGGACAAGGUCUACUGCACAGGCUUCACCUUGGCAGCCUUCUCAGGGCAGGGCGGAUAUAUUCCAGGGGGUCCAGAUCACCAGUUGCAGUUUCAGGGCAACAGAGCAAGUCACUACUGCUCCUUUCCCUCAGUUUAAAAAAUAGCAAAAAAUGCCACUGCUAUCAGGUCCCCAGGUAGGGGCCAGCCCUGCUUUUCAAUGAGCCUUGCAUGAGCAGACCCUUUACAAACCCAGCUGUAGCUAGAACCGUCUUGGUGGACUGCACUUACAAUCCACCCUGCUAGAUCAGGUUCCCGCCCCUGUAGAUCUUGCCUCCCACUACACUCUCACUGGCCCACUAAGCUCUGGCUUCAUUUUGAAUAUCCCAAACUUGUCCUCUCCUUUGGGAUCCUGAGUUUGCCACCCUCUUUGUCCAGAAUGUUUUUGCCCUAGAUUUUCACAGACUGACUUCUUGCCAUUCAGAGCUCAGCCCAAAUAUCACCUGUCCAAAGAGUCCUGCCUCUUCACCCAGUUACUUUAUCCCAUUCCCUAUUUUGCUUUCUUCGUAGUUCCUAUCAUGGGUUUGCAUAAGUAAGCAUGACUUUUACCUGUCAACUUCUUGCCUGCCUUCCCUACUAGAAUAUAAGCUCUGUGAAAGCAUGGACUGUGUCCUCUUACCACCAUGUCUCCAAGGAUAGUACUGGCACCCAGGGGAUGCUCAAUAGAUGAAUGAAUGAAGGCUCAAUAGUUACAAAGCCAACUUACAGAAAAAGAGAAGCCAUUUAGGACUGCACAAUCUAUUAAUACUUUCUAGGGCACAGGUCUCCUAGACCAGGGGCUCCCAACUCCCAGGCCACAGGCUGGUAUCAGUCCAUUGCCUGUUAGGAACCAGGCCACACAGUAGGAGGUAAACAGUGGGUGAGUAAGUGAAGCUCUGUCUGUAUUUACAACCACUCCCCAUCACUUGCAUUACCGCCUGAGCUCUGCCUCCUGUCAGAUCAGCAGCAGAUUCUCACAGGAGUGCAAACCCUAUUGUGAACUGCGCACAUGAGGGAUCUAGGCUGCACGCUCCUUAUGAGAAUCCAAGGCCUGAUGAUCUGUCACUGUCUUCCAUCACCCCCAGAUCUAGCUGCAGGAAAACAAGCUCAGGGCUCCCACUGAUUCUACAUUAUAAUGAGUUGUAUAAUUAUUUCAUUAUAUAUUACAAUGUAACAAUAAUAGAAAUAAAGUGCACAAUAAAUGUAAUGCACUUGAAUCAUCCCCAAACCAUCCCCAUCCCCAGUCCAUGGAAAAAUUGUCUUCCAUGAAACUGGUCCCUAGUGCCAAAAAAGUUGGGGACCACUGCCCUAGACUGUCUUAAUUCUCUUCUGCUGUCCAUUUGUUUUGGGGGUUUUUUGGUUUAAUCGGUGUCUCCCUCCAGAAGUAGGAAGGAGAAACACAAGGUAAAAGAGGAGAAACUUUGCCAGUGGCCUUAAAAGCCUUUAUGAGGAAAAAGCUGAAAGUAUCUUGAGAAGUUUUUAAUGUUUGAAGCCAUUUUUCUUCCUAUAUCCAUUAAUGAAUGGCUAAUAUUGUUUUAUUUGCUUUAAAAGGACUACCAAGCUCUAAUCAUAGGGUUUAUUUCUUUUCCAGAAAGCGGAUGUUGGUGCUGUUAAUCAAAAGCCUUUGAAUCAAGGUCAUAUGAUUUCUAACAGAUUAUUUCCCUCACAACAUGUCUUUGUCUCACAGCAACAAAUCAUAUCAUUAAAAUCACCAAGGCAUGUGGGCUAAGUGUUUGAUUAGCUGUAACUUUCAUUUCAGAAACGGCCACCUGUGGUAAAAAGUUAUGCCAGUUUAUGUGAGCAGAUGAAAAUGAUACACCUCAUCAAUUUUUAAAAUUAGGGUACUGACAAUAUAGUCCUCCAUGCUGUCCUUUUAUUGUUGAAAACAAAGGAAAACUGAGUAUCAGUGGAUCAGUAAGAAAUGAGUGUUCCCUUUUGUAAGUGGAAUCUGACCAGCUUUGUCUGGAAUUUGACUGGUUGUAUGGAAAAGGUUCCUAAAUAGGCUGGACACGCCUGUAAUCCUAGCACUUUGGGAGGCCUAGGUGGGUGGAUCUCUUGAGCCCAGGAGUUUAAGACCAGCCUGAGCAACAAGGUGAAAUCCCAUCUCUACAAAAAAAUACCAAAAAAAAAAAAGAAACAAGAAAAGUUGCUAAAUAAAAACUAUGUUUAUCAAGUAAAUGACCAUCAUUUCACUGCUAAAGUUUUAAUCAUUUUUUUCCAAUUACUAUGACGAAGGCUUGCCAAUUUACUUGGGUACUAUACAUGUAAAAUAAUGGCUAACAUUUAUUGAUCACUUGCUACAUGUCAAGUACUGUUCUAAGUUCCAUAUUGAGAAUUAUAGAGUUCAAUUUUCCAUUUUCAUAAAGAAGUUUAACUCAGAAUAAAAAUCCAGAUUCCUCACCAUGGCCCAUCCAGCCUUCAUCUUCUAGCACACCAUUCUCUCCUUGCUCACUCUGCUAGGCCCCACUGACUUGCUUUUGGUAUCUUAAUGACAUCAAGCUCCUUGCUUCCUUAGCUCCUUGCUUCCUUGACCUUCUCAUCCUUUAGGUUUCAGCUCAGAUGUCUACUUAAAGAGAUUCUCUGGUCAACCUGUCUAUUAAUGUCUGUUCCAACAACCAGUUACUUCCCUUAUAGCACUUAUAAUUUGUCAUUCUGUUUCUGACUUCUACUUCUUAUCCAUCUCUCCAGUAGACUGUGAAUUCCAUGAAAACAAGGACGGUGUAUAACUAUUUGCUGAAUAAAUUGAUAAGUGGAUGGACAGGUUCUGUUUCCAAAUUUCAUUGACUCCCUUCUUUGCUUCCCUCCCAGGCCAAAAAAAAAAAAAUGGCUUUUCCAAGGCUUCACAUUACAAAGACUCUACUCAUGAUUAAGGCUCACUCCUUUCCCCAGGAAGUAGAGAACAGAUUUCUUUUUAUUCAUUCAACAAAUAUUUAUUGAACCUCGAUGGCCAGGCACUUGGUGAACAAAGAUAAAUAGGAUACAGUUCCCUUGGGAUUAGCUCAAAAUAAAUGGAGAGAGAAAGAGAAAAUCUAUGUGUCUGUGGGUGUCUGUUUUUAAACACAAACCCACACUAGUUAGUGUGUGAGAAGGGGAGACAUAUGAGUCGACAGCCACCUACUUGAGAAUCCCUGUUCAGAAAUAGCUUCCCUGCGGACUUGUCCCCAAUGCCUACAGUUCCAUCAAGAGAGUUAAUUCUGUAGGAGAGGGAAGGUGGAUGAUGUGAUAGACAAAUGAUUUGCUAGCAUGGUAACUCCUCAGUUCAGAGGCAGUGUUAAUCACAAAGCAAAAAUGAAAAUCUUGCACAAUCACAAAUGGGCGCCCAGGACUGUAUGUUAUUUGUCAAUCCUGUGAUCUUCUUGGCCUGAGUACACACGAUCUUCAUGUUACUGAGCUUUUACCAUUUGGAAUAUGUAAACCAAAUCCUAAAUGAGGUUUUCCAUUUAUCAGUCACAACAUGCAACAUUUUUCUUCCUUAUUAAGAAUUAAAAGAGUUUAUGAGAGAGAAAUAAAAUCUGAUUUUCAAGUUGUCAAAAAAAAUCGUGAUAUAAUGCAAUCAGUUUAGCCAGGAAACAAAAUGGCCAAUAUAAACUGUUGCAGGAACUCCCACAGCUGUAAGCAGCUGUCGUUCCUGAAAGGCAACUCCUUCUUUAUCAUUUCUUCCAUCUGGUUUAUUUUUUGUGCAUGCAUUCUAGCAUACAAAUAAUCCCUCCCCUUUUUUUUUUUUGGUCCACAGGUACAAUUGUACACAUGUACCUGUAAUUUUAUUCUAUUCAGUCUCCUUGGUAGAGAAAGCAAUAAUUUUAUAAUAAAAUGAGGGCUCUCUAGACUUAAUUCUCUCUCUUUUCCCAAUAUAUUUGCAUCAUGAGUUUCAUUUGAUUGCACAGCCAUGAACUCCAUGCUGGCGACCUUCAGUGGAAGGAUUCGGAGGCAGCAGGAGGCCGACUUCUCCAGGGGGUGGGGUGAGGAGAAAACGUAGACUUAUUCCCUUUCUUAUUUCCACCUACUUUGAAAACUUUUUUUUUUUACAUGAAAGGGGCGACCAAUAACCAUUUUUGCUUUAACUUGCAAAAAGCUUAGAUAUGCCAUUUGCAUGGUGAUCAUUAUUUAUUUAUAUAUUCAUUAAUGGGUAAGGAAGUAAUGCUCUUCUAAAGCUGAGUAGAGCCACGUAGCCAUGGUUUCCAACUGCACAAGCAUCCCUUAGGUGAACAGCUCUUUUGAAGUGGUUUUGUUAGCAAUUAAGUGCAGUUAUAGCCCUGACAUGAAACUAAGCAUUUGUACACCUGCCAUGAAUGCUUAAAAUCUGUGCCAGUGAGUGGGAUCUGGAAGUAGAGGAGCACCCUGCAGAACUGGGCUACAGGAUGCUUUUAAAUAAUAACAAUAAUAACUAAAAGCUGUUAGUAUUGAGGGCUUACCACCAGCCAGCCACUUUCCUAGUGCCUUUAAUACAUUAUCUCAUUUAAUCCUCACAGCAACCUUCGUGGGACUCAUUGCUGCUGGAGGCCUCAUAAAUAUUCUAGGGCUACAAUGCCCUGCAAAAAACCCAUCAGCACUGGCAACCCUGACCCUCUUCUCUGUGGUUAGAUGGGAGCCAGGGCCAAGGGACAUGCAAGGUGAAUUGGGGCGAGCUUGCCUUCUAUAUGUGCUGUUUCCCUUUGUUCUUUUCAGUUUUUACUCAUUUCUUAAUUAUAGAAGUAAUACCUGUUUGCUAUUUUUAUUUUUAUGUUUUCUAUGUGUUUUUGUUUUUGUUUUUAAGACUGAGUCUCAUUCUGUUGACCAGGCUGGAGUGCAGUGGCGCGAUCUCAGCUCACUGCAACCUCCACCUUCCGGGUUCAAGUGAUUCUCAUGCCUCAGCCUCCCCGAGUAGCUGGGAUUACAGGUGCCCACCACCAUGGCUGGCUAAUUUUUGUAUUUUUAGUAGACAACAUUUCACCAUAUUGGCCAGGCUGGUCUUGAACUCCUGACCUCAAGUGAUCUGCCCUCCUCUGCCUCCCAAGGUGUUGGGAUUACAGGUGUGAGCCACUGCACCCGGCCGUUUGCUAUUUUUAAAAAUCAACAAAAGUAUAUGAAAUUAGAAGGAAAAUAUACCUGUCUCCUCUUAAUUCCCUGCUCCCCUCCCCACCAAGAUCACCACUAGAUCCUUCUAGACUUAAUAUGUAUAUAUAAACCUAUAUAGUUUUUAAAAAAUAAACAUGGAUGGGAUCAUCACUGCAGCUCUUGCCUUUCAACUUAAUCUUUUUGAUGUCAGAAUGUGUAUUCAGUGCAACAUGGGCCUAGUAGUCCAUAGUAUACAUAAAUCACAAAUGACUUAUCUGGCCCCUUAUUGAUAGGCAUUGUAAUUGUUUUUGUUUUUACUCUAAUGCAACAAUGCUUUAAUAAACAUUCUUGUUCUUGUAUUUGUAUAUGCUUGUUUAAUGUUUCUAUAGGACAGAUUCCUAUAAGUGAAACUGCUGGGCCAAAGAGGAAGCACAUAUAAAACUGUGAUAGUGAAAUUGCCUUCUGGGAGAUUGCACCAAUUUACACUCCUAUCAAGAGUGAUUGGGAAUAUUCAUUUCUCUCUAACUCCACUAACACUGGAUGUUGUCCAAAGUUUUUAUUUUUGCACAACUAAUCAAGGAAAAGGUAUCUUUAAGAAUUUUGCACUUCUUAAAUCUAAUGAUAUUGAGCUUGGUUUAAUUUUCAUAUUGGCUAUUUGUGUAUCUUCUGUGAAUUAUUCCCCUCUCCUAUCCCCAUUCUCUCCCCUCUGCCUUUCAACACCUCUUUUCGCCCCAAGGAUCCUAGAUGUCUCUCCCCAACCCCCUAACAGAAGGAAAUAAUACAGAGAGCAAGGGGAUGGUGAAAUGAUGAAAGAAAGCAGGUCCUGGGGCAAUAGGGACAAAAAGUGUUCCCAGUCAGGAGUGUUUGCCUUUUAAAGGAGCCUGCCCCAAUGGGACAACGCUCACCUCCAAAGACUGGAUUGCCAAUGGCGCUGUUUCAGCUCCAACAACAGGAAAAGUAUUUUCCGUGGGAAGUAUUUUCCAGAAGGUCCUGGGACCUUCAUUAUAACAUUGAGUCAGUGCUUUUUUUGUCUAUCACAAUGAGGCUUUCCCUUGUUAGUAGUCAGAGUCAGCUGCUUGGGACUGUAUCACAAAGCCUUAAGUAUUCACAGUUCUUCGCAUUAAUCUAAGGAGUUAAUCGGAAGUGCAGUUAAAAACA
rnacentral:lncRNA from 10 species